rnacentral:ncRNA from 2 species
AUAAAGGUAUUUGCAGCAGCUUAUAUAAGUCCAUAAUCGGUUGGACGUUUCUACCAACUACCGUAAUAGUUGCCUAUAAGUCUUAUUCAGGGUAUC